UGGCUCAGAACGAACGCUGGCGGCAUGCCUAACACAUGCAAGUCGAACGAGACCUUCGGGUCUAGUGGCGCACGGGUGCGUAACGCGUGGGGAUCUGCCCUUUGCUUCGGAAUAACAGUUAGAAAUGACUGCUAAUACCGGAUGAUGUCGUAAGACCAAAGAUUUAUCGGCAAAGGAUGAACCCGCGUAGGAUUAGCUAGUUGGUGGGUAAAGGCCUACCAAGGCGACGAUCCUUAGCUGGUCUGAGAGGAUGAUCAGCCACACUGGGACUGAGACACGGCCCAGACUCCUACGGGAGGCAGCAGUGGGGAAUAUUGGACAAUGGGCGAAAGCCUGAUCCAGCAAUGCCGCGUGAGUGAUGAAGGCCUUCGGGUUGUAAAGCUCUUUUACCAGGGAUGAUAAUGACAGUACCUGGAGAAUAAGCUCCGGCUAACUCCGUG
rnacentral:rRNA from 1 species